UGAGGAAUAUUGGACAAUGGAUGGAAAUCUGAUCCAGCCAUGCCGCGUGCAGGAAGACGGCCUUAUGGGUUGUAAACUGCUUUUAUACGGGAGCAAUAAGGGUUACGAGUAANCCGAUGAGAGUACUGUAUGAAUAAGGAUCGGCUAACUCCGUGCCAGCAGCCGCGGUAAUACGGAGGAUCCGAGCGUUAUCCGGAAUUAUUGGGUUUAAAGGGUGCGUAGGCGGCCAUUUAAGUCAGCGGUGAAAUUUUGCAGCUUAACUGUAACAGUGCCGUUGAUACUGUUUGGCUAGGAUUUGGUUGNAGUGUGCGGAAUGUGUGGUGUAGCGGUGAAAUGCUUAGAUAUCACACAGAACACCGAUUGCGAAGGCAGCACACUAAGUCAUUAUUGACGCUGAGGCACGAAAGUGUGGGGAUCAAAGCAGGAUUAGAUACCCUGGUAGUCCACACUGUAAACGAUGAUAACUCGCUGUCGGCGAUA
rnacentral:rRNA from 1 species